AGUGGCUCUCAUAGAAGCUGCAGCUUCUUCCACCUAGCCACUGUAGUCAAAAAGGAGCUCAGAGUGACAGUUUUCCUUGACAGUCGACAUUCUGUUUGCUGUAAUCAAUGUGCAACAUUUCAGGAAAAGACAAUU
rnacentral:snoRNA from 1 species